UUAGCAUGAGCUAGGAUAUGCUGCUUUAACAUAUAACCACAAAUCAUUUUGGCUUCACAAAACAAGACUAAUUUUUUUUAUUUAUAAAAAGUUCACCUUGGGUUUAGGAAACUCAGUGGCAUUUCUCAUCUAUCUAGCCUCUGCCCUCCUGGGUCUUGGCCAUCCAUCACAACAAAAGGACUCCUACAUAAUAGCUGCAGUUGUAGGAUAAUGAGAUAAAAAAAAUCCUUGGGGGAUCUUCACUGCCUCUGCUUGAAAGCGAUUCAUUUUAUUAGCCAGAACCAGUCAUGUGGCCUUACCUCACUGAAAGGAAGUUAAGAAGUGCAGUUCCUGUAAGUCAAGGCAGGAAAAGAGAACUUAAUACUGAUGAGUAAUGGUAAAUUUUACUAUGAUUUGCUCUUCCAGUUCUAAUAUGUUAAGUUUAAUUUCCCUCCAAAAUAUAUACCCCCUUGCCAAGGAAGACUCUUGGGCUACCAAGACUACUAAUUUUGUCCAAAAACAGCUCUAAACUCUAAGUGUUGUGCAAUAAUGUUCUCUCCAUCAGAUUUCUAUAUGGUUCCUCUUAGACAGGAAACCUAUCAAUGCUACCUACAAUCCUUCCCACACACAUUUAGCAUAUAAUAGUAGAAUAUAGCUAAGAUAAUUGUAAUAAACAUUCUCAUUCUGAAAGGAAAGAUGAAAGAAACAUGAGUCAUCAGUCCUUAUAAAUUCUGAAAUCCCAAUGGGCAAACGUUGUGUGAACCUAUCUUGAAGGUAGAGAAUAUUCCUUGAUGAUAUUCUUAUCCUGCUCUCCCAGAAGUUCCCUUUCCAGUGUCCUUAGCAGCCUCCUAGUUCCAUUUUCUAAAAGCAUUUUUGCCUUAUCUCACAUCUAUAUCUGAAGUGGACUUGGAGGAAUAAGAUUUUCAUAGAGACUAUAACAGUUUCUCAAUACACUACCUGCCUGUGGAAGCAUGGGGGCCCAAGGAUCAUUUUGUCAAUGAAUGUUAACAUUUAUUGGAUGCUUUCUAUGUGAUAGACAUUAUACCAAGCAAUUGCAUGCAUUUAAUCCUCACAAUAGCCUUUUGAAAUGGCAUUAUAAUUAUUCCUGUUUAAAUUGCCCAGUGUUCCAUAGCUAGUCCAUAAUGGAACUUGGAUUCAAACCCUGCUCUGAUAUCAAUCUGUAAUGUUUCAUUUAUUUCUAUUGUCUUUAUACUCCUGAGUUAAAUGGAUUGUUCCAGAAAUUGUUAGAUGUGAUUCCAGGAGUUGCUGAACAUAAUCAUUGUUUUUGAUAAAUGCAAAGGUCAUUUUUAAGUCUCAGAAUCAUAGGCUUUCUCCAUCGAGGCUACCAGUUUCUUUAGCAACACGAUACUAUAUAAACACACAGAUACACUCACACUUGCACACAUGCACACACACACACACACACACACACAGAGCAGGGCUUUUGUAUAUUGAGAUCCAUUCAGAUCCUUGUACCAGUAACCAAACCCACAGUUGCUUUAAAAAUAUCCUUUACAGAUAUUCAGUUCCAGGUUUCUUCUCUAAUUUUAUUGAUUUUUUUUUGUUCCCUUACUUUUAUCUAUCAACUUAUUGAGUCUGUUUUGAAUGGUAGAUAAAAAAUCUACACCAUAAAUCUGAUAUUUAUCUUCAGCUAUUUUAAAAAUUGAUAUUAAUUUAUUGGGCAUUGAACCCUAAUCUGAUUUGUUUCAAAGCACUUCAGUCUUUUGAGAAAUUUUACCAAAAUGUGGGGAGACUUUUAUUAUUGUUGCAUAGCUGAGUUUUAUAGUUUUUUUUUUUAUUUUCAAAGCCACUGUAAUGUUCAUCACUUAUAGUUUGAAAUCAAAAGCAGUCAUCUCACCAAUAUUGGAAAAUCCAGAAUGUUUCUAAUUCCACCAUUCUAUAUAGCCAAUUCUUUCCUGAACUGAUCAGUUUCCUGAAAUGUCCUAUAUAAUGUGGCCAACUUCAUCCAAAAUACACUAUUAAAAUACUCUUUCCCAGCUUUUUGCUCUAGACAUUCAGGUUAAGAAGACAAGUUCAUUGUCUACAUUAUCUAACUUGCAAAAUUACACCAGGCAACAAUUUUACCACUCUGUCAUAUAUGACAAAUGUUCUAUCACUUAUUAUAAAUCACCAUAUUUCCAGAUACCUAUAAAGCAAUGCCACAUUUGAGGUUUUUGUUAUGAGAACAUCUCACCUCCAGUACUAAUUUUCUGUAUUAGGGGAGUUUCUUGGUUGUUCUCAAGAUCAUUCCCAGGUCUAGUGUUCACUAAAAGGACUAAUGGAACCCAUAAGUCAUUAUACUCAUGGUUAUGGUUUAUUACUGUGAAAAGAUACAAAUCAGAAUCAGCAAAAUAGGUACAUCAGGCAAAGUCUGGAGGAAACUAGGGGCAAAUUUCAAGAGUUUUCUCUUGAAUGAAAUGGAAUCAACCAGGAAACACUUAAUACUUUCUGCUAUAAGCUGUUGCUACAUGUAUGAAGUGCUGUCUACCAGGAAAGUUUGCUUGAACCUAAGAGUUUUUAAUGAGAAUCACACAUAAAGUAUAGAAUACCUUCAUGACUGACUGUAGUUACCAAAACUGCAGAAUUCCAAAAACUGAGCAGGUAUCCACCAUAAAUCACAUUGUUUGCAUAAACUA
rnacentral:lncRNA from 1 species